UCCCUGCUCUAGGUCGCGGCGGGACAGUGCCAGUGGGCGUGUGGGGCGGGGCAGGGCAGGGAAGGGAAGGGCGGAGCUGGGGUGAGGGUCCAAGGGGCCCAGGACUUGGCCGGCGUGAUCUCAGCUCUGCAGACCCUGCGGUGCUGGGAGCCACCAUGGAGAGUAGGUGCUACGGCUGCGCUGUCAAGUUCACCCUCUUCAAGAAGGAGCUGGUCAUAACUUCAGUGACUUCUCUCUGUGUGUGCUUGGAGAGUCCCUGGGAGCAGCCUGCAGGGGCGGGUGAGAGGGGGAUCUCCCGCUUCAUGUUUCUUGUAGUACGGCUGUAAGAAUUGUGGCAGGGCCUUCUGUUCAGGCUGCCUAAGCUUCAGUGCAGCAGUGCCUC
rnacentral:lncRNA from 1 species